rnacentral:rRNA from 1 species
GUAAAACAUAGUCUUAAGUAAUGAAAUAAUGGAUGAUGAGCCCUGCCCAAUGACCUAAAUGAAUGGCUGCGGUAUCCUGACCGUACUAAGGUAGCAUAAUCACUUGUCUAUUAAUUGUAGUCUAGAAUGAAUGGGUAAACGCAUAUUUAGCUGUCUCAGAGUAGCAUCUAAAAAUUAACAUCUAAAUGAAAAGGUUUAGAUAAAAAAGAAGGACAAGAAGACCCUAUAGAUCUUUCUUUAUGCUUGACCCCCCAUCAAGCAUAAAAUUUGGAUGGGGCGUCCCGAGAAAAAACUAAAAUACAACUCAACAAGCCCGAGCCACAACUCCACGAAACAAAACCUCAGAUACCUGAAUUAAGAAAACUAAAGUUUCCUUAGGGAUAACAGGCUAAUUCUUCUCAAGAGUCCAUAUUCACAGAAAAGCUUGGCACCUCGAUGUUGGCUUAGGAGAUAAUAUUGACGCAGCAGUCAAGCACCCCCAGUUUGUUCAACUGAUAAAAUCCUACGUGAUCUGAGUUCAAACCG